AUUGAACGCUGGCGGCAUGCUUUACAUAUGCAAGUCGAACGGUAACAGGUUAAGCUGACGAGUGGCGAACGGGUGAGUUAUGCAGCGGUACGUGCCCGUUCGUGGGGGAAAACGUAGCGAAAGCUGCGCUAAUACCGCAUACGAUCUGAGGUUGCAAGCGGGCGACCGUAAGGCCUCGCGCGAUCGUAGCGGCCGAUGUCAGAUUAGGUAGUUGGUGAGGUAAAGGCAAACCAAGCCGACGAUCUAUAGCUGGUCUGAGAGGACGACCAGCCACACUGGGACUGAGACACGGCCCAGACUCCUACGGGAGGCAGCAGUGGGGAAUUUUGGACAAUGGGCGAAAGCCUGAUCCAGCAAUGCCGCGUGCAGGAAGAAGGCCUUCGGGUUGUAAACUGCUUUGGUACGGUGCGAAAAGGCUCUCUCUAAUACGGGGGGCUCAUGACGGUACCGUAAGAAGAAGCACCGGCUAACUACGUGCCAGCAGCCGCCGUAA
rnacentral:rRNA from 1 species